rnacentral:misc_RNA from 1 species
UGCUCAGACAAUGUGCUCCCAGGCCGGGCA